UACGAAGGGUGCAAGCGUUGCUCGGAAUUAUUGGGCGUAAAGGGUUGGUAGGUGGUUACGUUUGUCUGGGGUGAAAUCCCUGAGCUUAACUCAGGACGUGCCUUGGAAACGGCGUAACUAGAGUGCUAGAGAGGUUCGUGGAAUUCUUGGUGUAGCGGUGAAAUGCGUAGAGAUCAAGAGGAACAUCAGUGGCGAAGGCGACGAACUGGAUAGUAACUGACACUCAACAACGAAAGCGUGGGGAGCAAACAGG
rnacentral:rRNA from 1 species